rnacentral:tRNA from 1 species
AUAGCAUAAAAAAGAAUGGGCGCCUGACGCAUAAUCAGGUGGUUACAGGUUCAAUCCCUGUUGGGCCCA